ACUUCCUUCUCUUCAGCUGGAGCCAGAGACAAAGGGAAGAAUUGUUGGUAAUUUGUGGAGAAAUUCACCUUGAUAUUUGCAUCACUAGUGCAAGACAAGGCAGCUGCAACUUUCCUACCAUGGUUAAAGACAGCACUUGGAGGUGGUUGGGAGCCUCGAGGUCCCAUGAGUGAGGGGCUCGUCUGAACCUGACUGCAGUGAGAUGGAUAAGGGCUACGACACUCGCCUUUGUGGAGGUCAGUAACGACUACAGCAUUGAUUGCCAGUAGCACUGGGUGGCACGCAGUGGCCACAGAGUCCUCACCAAUGGCAGAACUGCCUUGGCACCAGGAAAGCAGCCCUGGGAUGUUUAAUGCCUGAUGCGAGCCCAGUGGAGAAACAGGAGGAGAGACAGUGAAGAGAGUGAGCCAGGCAGUUCGUGGGGUCUGUGAGCUGCCACACACAGGAGACUGCUGCCAGGCUGGUACCCAGGCGAGGCAGCCAAAAUCAGCUCGCUGCCCGGAUGCAAUCGCCAUGUCGAUGCAGCAGCAGCAGCACAGAUGGACUGCCAGGAACUUUCUCUCCAGCCUCCUAAUAGGCAGUGAGUGCUUCUUUAAAAUAAAGCCUGACAAAUGGCAUGUUGGGGGCGUCAGGUCCUGGAGCACUGUCUUCCGAAAAAUAUGAAAAGGCACCGGAGGGGAGCCUGGCACAGCCUCCCAGAUGACAGUAAUUAAAGGCUUUUGCACUCAGACGCUGGGAGCUGCUCCUCUUGCAAAUUGGCCUUGAUUGAAGAGGAAGAGAAUGAUUAGGCUGAAGGGGAACGACGGGGGUGGCAGGCGAAAACACCGAGGUAAGUCUCAAUUUGUCUUCUGUUGGGUUUAUUUUAUUUUUUUCCCUCUUCCUCUCUCCCAGACGGUGUCCGUGUGGGUGGAGGGAGCAGGGCUCCAGCUCCCCACAGCCUGGGCUGGCUCUGCCUGAGCUGCUCGGGGGGUGUUAAGCUGAAAAGGAGCAGCUCAGCUCUGGUCCUGCCUGCGCAGCCCCGGAGGGUCGCCCAAAAAGCCAUCCCUCUUCCCAAAAGCUCUGUGGGCUGGAUGUCACCAGGGUCACCCAUCCCUUUGCAGAUCUGGCAAAGGGGUUAACCUCUGGCCUGGACUAUACUCCUAGCUCUCUACAGGGGCUAUACUCCUAUAACUCCUAUAAACCCCAGGGGUUACAGCUCUUUACCCUGUUUUAAUUAGAACAGAGAUCUAGGUUUUACCACAUUAUUUAUUUAAAACCUCUGUUUUUGAUGAAGUUGUCUGAAUAUAUUUGGGUUCAGUGCUAAGCCCUGCAUCAGCAGGAGUGGCUCCUGCAGGGUGGCUGACAACAUUACAGAAAUUCACUCCCUUCUCUUCCUCAGGGUAUGUCCCCUCUCAGACCCACGAGCACCAAAGAUGUCCUGGCUCUGGCUGCCUGGCUGGUGUAUUCCAUGGAGCAGUUUGUCUUGAAGUACUCCGGGAAGUCACUGUGGUGUGAGCACGGAUGCUACCUCCAAGCCCAGCCAGCUGCUUCACAGAGCAGGGCCAAGGAACUGGUCCCAAAUUCAACCAAGAACCAAGCCCAGAGCAUUAACAGUCAGGAAUCCCCAAAAAACCUGCCACAGGUGAGGCACUGCCAAAAGCCCCCUCAGUUGCCCAUGCACAGGAGGGGUCGGGUCACCGCUUGCGCAGCCCUACAACUGCAGCUAUGUGUGGUGCAGGGUUUCUCCUGAAGACGUGAGGGUUUUGUCCUGCCCUGCGUGGGUUUUGCAAUCCAGAUACUCAGGUAACUCAGUGCCUGAGUGGAUUGUUUGAGUCCAGGCUGACUUGGGAGACAUGGAAGCUAAUGUCCACCUGCCAGCUGUACGUGGGGGUCCAUGCCCUUCAAGGCAGUAACAUCUCAGGUCCAGAUGGGCACCCAGCAGUGGCAUCCUGGCAGAUGACUUGAGAUCUCUAUCAGAUGAUAGUGGAGGCCUCCAGAGCCUUUUCCUACACAAGGAACAUCUUUGCUGACGACGUAUCUCGGGCUCUCACUUGUGCUUGUCCUGGCCAUCCUUGUACACGAAGUGUCUGCAUGUGUUCAGCUGGAAGAUGAUGGGCAAGACAUGACCAUAAGAGGGGUUUUAUAACCAGCUGGUUAACAAGUGCUCCUUCCCAGCAUGGCUGCUUCCAGAAAUCUCCAGGUUUCGACCUGCUGGCUAUUUCAAAAAGAACAUCUUGGAUUAGGUUGCUGCAAAUGAAAGGUUUCAGUCAUGGUAUCAGAUGAGCUGCAGAUGCACAGAGCCAGCUGUCCCCCGCACAGUGGCAGACAGG